UACGAAGGGGGCUAGCGUUGCUCGGAAUCACUGGGCGUAAAGCGCACGUAGGCGGAUCUUUAAGUCAGGGGUGAAAUCCUGGAGCUCAACUCCAGAACUGCCUUUGAUACUGGGGAUCUCGAGUCCGGAAGAGGUUGGUGGAACUCCGAGUGUAGAGGUGAAAUUCGUAGAUAUUCGGAAGAACACCAGUGGCGAAGGCGGCCAACUGGUCCGGCACUGACGCUGAGGUGCGAAAGCGUGGGGAGCAAACAGG
rnacentral:rRNA from 1 species